rnacentral:rRNA from 1 species
GACGAACGCUGGCGGCGUGCUUAACACAUGCAAGUCGAACGAGAGGAGAAGGAAGCUUGCUUCUUUCAAAUCUAGUGGCAAACGGGUGAGUAACACGUAAACAACCUGCCUUCAGGAUGGGGACAACAGACGGAAACGACUGCUAAUACCGAAUACGUUCCUUAGGUCGCAUGACUUUAGGAAGAAAGGGUGGCCUCUACUUGUAAGCUAUCGCCUGAAGAGGGGUUUNCGUCUGAUUAGGUAGUUGGUGAGGUAACGGCCCACCAAGCCGACGAUCAGUAGCCGGUCUGAGAGGAUGAACGGCCACACUGGAACUGAGACACGGUCCAAACUCCUACGGGAGGCAGCAGUGGGGAAUAUUGCACAAUGGGCGAAAGCCUGAUGCAGCGACGCCGCGUGAGCGAAGAAGUAUUUCGGUAUGUAAAGCUCUAUCAGCAGGGAAGAUAAUGACGGUACCUGACUAAGAAGCACCGGCUAAAUACGUG